CUGAGUUUGAUCCUGGCUCAGGACGAACGCUGGCGGCGUGCUUAACACAUGCAAGUCGAGCGGUAAGGCCCUUCGGGGUACACGAGCGGCGAACGGGUGAGUAACACGUGAGUAAUCUGCCCUCCACUUCGGGAUAAGCCUCGGAAACGGGGUCUAAUACCGGAUAUGACCACUUCAUGCAUGUGAUGGUGGUGGAAAGUUUUUCGGUGGGGGAUGUGCUCGCGGCCUAUCAGCUUGUUGGUGGGGUAAUGGCCUACCAAGGCUUCGACGGGUAGCCGGCCUGAGAGGGUGACCGGCCACACUGGAGACUGUAGACACGGCCCAGACUCCUACGGGAGGCAGCAGUGGGGAAUAUUGGACGAAGUGGGCGGAAGCCUGUAUCCAGCACACGCCGCGUGAGGGAUGACGGCCUUCGGGUUGUAAACCUCUUUCAGUGGGGACGAAGCGCAAGUGACGGUACCCACAGAA
rnacentral:rRNA from 1 species